AGCACCUCAAGUGGUCAGGAUGAUUAUUGGGCCUAAAGCAUCCGUAGCUCGUUUUGUAAGUUUUCGGUUAAAUCCAUGCGCUUAACGUAUGGGCCGCCGGGAAUACUGCAUAACUAGGAAGUGGGAGAGGUAGACGGUACUCGGUAGGAAGGGGUAAAAUCCUUUGAUCUAUUGAUGACCACCUGUGGCGAAGGCGGUCUACCAGAACACGUUCGACGGUGAGGGAUGAAAGCUGGGGGAGCAAACC
rnacentral:rRNA from 1 species